CCUACGGGUGGCAGCAGUGGGGAAUAUUGGGCAAUGGGCGCAAGCCUGACCCAGCAACGCCGCGUGAAGGAAGAAGGCUUUCGGGUUGUAAACUUCUUUUAAGAGGGAAGAGCAGAAGACGGUACCUCUUGAAUAAGCCACGGCUAACUACGUGCCAGCAGCCGCGGUAAUACGUAGGUGGCAAGCGUUGUCCGGAUUUACUGGGUGUAAAGGGCGUGUAGGCGGGAGCGCAAGUCAGAUGUGAAAACUCAGGGCUCAACCCUGAGCCUGCAUUUGAAACUGUGUUUCUUGAGUGCUGGAGAGGCAAUCGGAAUUCCGGGGGGAGCGGGGAAAUGCGUAGAUAUACGGAGGAACACCAGUGGCGAAGGCGGAUUGCUGGACAGUAACUGACGCUGAGGCGCGAAAGCGUGGGGAGCAAACAGGAUUAGAUACCCUUGUAGUC
rnacentral:rRNA from 1 species